rnacentral:rRNA from 1 species
UACGUAGGGUGCGAGCGUUAAUCGGAAUUACUGGGCGUAAAGCGUGCGUAGGCGGUUCUCCAAGUCCGUUGUGAAGCCCCGGGCUCAACCUGGGAAUGGCAGUGGAAACUAGGGGACUGGAAUCUGGCAGAGGGGGGUGGAAUGCCGCGUGUAGCAGUGAAAUGCGUAGAGAUGCGGCGGAACACCGAUGGCGAAGGCAGCCCCCCUGGGCUGAGAUUGACGCUCAGGCACGAAAGCGUGGGGAGCAAACAGG